rnacentral:sRNA from 1 species
UAUUGAUAAAUACUAAAUCACACACAUAUCGACACGUUCUUCGGGGUGCCCUUAUUGGGUCGAAGAUAUGGGAUAUGUGGAGGUCUAAC